rnacentral:rRNA from 2 species
UGGGGAAUAUUGCACAAUGGAGGGAACUCUGAUGCAGCGACGCCGCGUGAACGAAGAAGGCUUUCGAGUCGUAAAGUUCUUUUAUAUGGGAAGAUAAUGACGGUACCAUAAGAAAAAGCCCCGGCUAACUACGUGCCAGCAGCCGCGGUAAUACGUAGGGGGCUAGCGUUGUCCGGAAUCACUGGGCGUAAAGGGUUCGCAGGCGGAAAUGCAAGUCAGGUGUAAAAGGCAGUAGCUUAACUACUGUAAGCAUUUGAAACUGCAUAUCUUGAGAAGAGUAGAGGUAAGUGGAAUUUUUAGUGUAGCGGUGAAAUGCGUAGAUAUUAAAAAGAAUACCGGUGGCGAAGGCGACUUACUGGGCUCAUUCUGACGCUGUGGAACGAAAGCGUGGGUAGCAAACAGG